UACAGAGGGCUCAAGCGUUGUUCGGAUUCAUUGGGCGUAAAGGGUGCGUAGGUGGUCGGGUAAGUCUGAUGUGAAAUCUCGGAGCUCAACUCCGAAACUGCAUUGGAUACUAUUCGGCUUGAGAGUUGGAGGGGGGACUGGAAUUCUCGGUGUAGCAGUGAAAUGCGUAGAUAUCGAGAGGAACACCAGUGGCGAAGGCGAGUCCCUGGACAACUUCUGACACUGAGGCACGAAAGCUAGGGGAGCAAACAGG
rnacentral:rRNA from 1 species